rnacentral:rRNA from 1 species
GCCACGCUCCUUCGCCGGGCGCUCCAGCUCCGCCGCGCCCUCCCCUCUCCAGCUUCCUCGCGCGCGAUCCUCCCCACGGCCUCCAGCCGCCUCCUCUCCGUUACCGCCUCCACCCAGCAGAACACCGCCGACACCGCCAUCGACUUCUCCAAUGACGAGAGCCGCCACCGCCUCGUCAACAGUCUGAUGUACAGGAGCAAGUAG